ensembl:lncRNA
GGACCAGGCGCUGACGGCGCUGAUUGGCUGCGCCGGGCCGGCCCCGCUCUCCCCUCAUCGCGGCCGCCGGGGUUGGGGCGGGGGCAGCACCUGGACGGGGGGCGGGGGUGGGGCUGGGGGCCGGGGAUUCCCGGUGUGGGCUGAAGGGCUGGGGGUCCAUCCCCCUGGGGACUGAGCGUGACGGCAGGCACAGCAGGCAGAGAGGUGCACCACGUCCUUGAGGAAGAUGAGGCAUUUCUGCAGCUUGAGUCCCUCGAGAGGUGCAGUGGUAGAAUGGUGACAGCGGUGCCCUGCAGGCAGCAGUUGCAGGGCUGCAGGAGGUGCUCACACAGUGCCAGCAGGCGGGCUGAGCCCUGCUCCAUCAGCCUCAGGUUGCUGCACUGGAGGCGCAGGGACCCCAUCACAGCACCGCUGGGUUCGGAGUGUCCACCAGGGAGAAGCUGGCUGGCCCUGCGCCACAGGAAUGUGUGGGAUCUGCACCUUUGGCUGCCCCAGGAGAGACUCAGGAGUGCUGGACUGGGAGGGAUCGCUGCAUCACGGUCCAAAGCUCAGCCACACCUUGCAGUCUCCUUCAGCAAACCCUGAGAUGCUGAUUUGAACCUGGACAAUAUUUUGGCCCACUGCUCGUAUCAGAAGACUGCUCUGCAGUGUCACUGCUCUGACGUUUGGAAAUGUUCUCCUGAUUUGCAGCCUAACUUUAUUCAUGGCCAGAUUGUAUUCAUGGCACUCGUGCCUAGGCUGUCCGCUAGCUCUUUUCCUUCUUGUAUUUAAGCUGAUGUUAUCUGCUUUUGCUUACCAAUUUGCCUGCUGGCUGGAAUUAUGCAUGGAAAAGAAGUUUCCCAUGCCCUCCAUGUGGUUGUUUUAACCUCUCUAAAGGAGCUAAAUAAUUAUUCUUCAUCGAAGGGUGAUUGAGAGCAGGGCUCAUGGUAUAACAGCACCAUUUAUUCGUAAAGGGAUAUUUACACCCUCAGUGUAAAGAAUGCUUUGAAACUGUUUUAUUUUUUUUUUAAUGGAGAUCCAUUAAAAGUGUUUAUAACGUAUCCCAUGCUCUGCUCUUGUUUUUGUAAGGCCCUGUGCAACAAGGAGGGAGCAGGUGAGCUCAAAGGCUGCAAUGUGAAACCGUGCUUUGGAGGAACAGAAAUGAAUCACUGUUCAGAUUGCAGUGGAAUCACCUGUAUGCGUAGUGGUGCCAGGUACAGGAGUCUGGAGGGGGUGAGGGAAGGGGAGAGGGGAUUUUCUAAGGCUGGCAUGGUUUCAAUUUUAGUUAUUGUGGGUGUGAGCAAAACAUCAUCCAGCAACGGAUGCAGGCUUAGCAAAGCAUCAUUUUCCACUAUGGUACAAAAAGCUGAGAUUGCCCUGGUAUCUUCUGUAAGACUAAAAUCCCAGUCCUCCUCAAUUAAAUCAUCAUUUUAAGGGUGCUUAAAAAAGCAGCCUUCUUCCUCCUUCCCUUCCUGCCAUCCCUUCCACCCACUCGUGCUGUUCUGGGCAUGCUGUGCAGUGCAAAUGCUUCUGCUGUCACUGUACAACAGGUUGGAGAGCUGAUCUAACUGAGGAAUGAAGCUACUUUUUAAAUAUUCUUUUCCUCCUGCCCUGAUCAGCUCUCUGGUGAGUUCAUGCCCCACACAUCUCCAUGUAGGUGCAGUGCAGGGUGCAGAGCAGGGGCUUCUCAUCCAGCACAUGGACCAUCUCCUUGGUGAGUGCUCAUCAGAUUGCUCUGCCAACACUGGCAGCACUCUGUUGGUUAUAAAGCUGGACUUUGCAAUGGCUGUGCCACAGCUUUUGG